rnacentral:miRNA from 1 species
GAGGGAAGUAGACAGCAUGAAUUCGGGAAUUGGUAGUGUGUAUAUAUAUAUAUAUAUAUAUAUAUAUAUAUAUAUAUACACACUACCAAUUCCCGAAUUCAUGCUGUCUACU